rnacentral:rRNA from 1 species
CCUACGGGAGGCAGCAGUGAGGAAUAUUGGUCAAUGGGCGAGAGCCUGAACCAGCCAAGUCGCGUGAGGGAGUACUGCCCUAUGGGUUGUAAACCUCUUUUGUCGGGGAGCAAAAGCCGGACGUGUCCGGCUGUGAGAGUACCCGAAGAAAAAGCAUCGGCUAACUCCGUGCCAGCAGCCGCGGUAAUACGGAGGAUGCGAGCGUUAUCCGGAUUUAUUGGGGUUAAUGGGUGCGCAGGCGGAUUUUUAAGUCAGCGGUCAAAUCGUGGGGCUCAACCCCAUCCAGCCGUGGAAACUGGGGAUCUAGAGUGUGCGAGAGGUAUGCGGAAUGCGUGGUGUAGCGGUGAAAUGCAUAGAUAUCACGCAGAACCCCGAUUGCGAAGGCAGCAUACCGGUGCACAACUGACGCUCAGGCACGAAAGCGUGGGUAUCGAACAGGAUUAGAUACCCCUGUAGUC